GUUCACCAGGAUCUCGAGAUUUCUGCCCUUGAGAAAAGCACAAUACUUCAGACGGCAAGACCAGACUCAGGUACCCCCAGGAUUUAUCCCUCCAUCUUUUCAGGGGCAGAGGCCAGCACUGCCCCCGCCAGAGUGGAGGGGAGGGGAGGCUGCCAGGGAAUUAAUAAACUCCCACCUCUAGACUUGAAAUCAGUGAUUCCUACUUCAAUCACCAUAAUGCACUAUAGUCUAUAGCUUAUUGAGCAAAUAUUUCUUCUAUUCAUCAAGAAUGUCUGUUUUAUAUGAGAAAGGAUUCAGAGAAGUAACUUCCUUUUGAAAACAUCCACCUUAGAGAAGGUAGACCAUAAAGAAGAAGUCUGCUGAAUGCUUGCCGUUCAUGAGUGUGUUUGACUAUGGCAAAAUGUACACUGAGUGGAAAAGUACUACAUACUCAUCAAGGAAAACAGUAGAAGCAGAAAACAGCAAUAUGAACAUUAAAAUUCCUGAGAAUUCCACCAUCCAGUCAUCUUCAUCCUUAAUGCUUAAGCAGGGUGCCUUUCUCUGUUUUCUAUGUCUUCAUAGGAUGUGGUUCCUUCAGCAGAAUUGGGGUUAGGCCAUUAGCACUCAUGAUGCUUCCCUUUCCAUGACUUGUUCAUCUCUUGUCACACUGCUGAGAGUGUUGGGAUAAUCUGUUUGCAAAUAUUUAUAACUGUCAGGCUCAGGGACAUCAGAGCCCUGGUUCACUGCACCCCAGACAGACUUCUUAGUGCAUAGGAAUUAUGUGACAAUUGGCAUCCACUCCCCAUUGCCUGGCAACAGUGCCCCACAUCUCUUGAGAUGAGCCCUCUCCACAGAUACCAGGCACUGUGAUAUGGGUAACAGUCCCUACUUCGUGCUACAAGACCCAAGCAUAAACCAAUCAGGACACUCAAUUCUGACAGGCCUGCUGAUGGUUUGUUUUGGUUCAAGGAAUAUCAAUUCCAGGAACUUUGCUCAAAAUCAUGGGAUAAGAGAAGCUCUGUUUGUCACAGAAUAUUUACAUUGAAAGAGGGGAUUCUAAAUAUUCCAAAAUACGAGCCCAGACUGGUGGCCAGAGAGCAAGUGAGCUUACCAUUUGGGGUUUGUGUGUGUCCAGCUCUACAUGUUAUUAAGGCAGGUCGAGCCUCUAUCUCCCACCACCAAGCCGACCCCCACUACAGCCUUUACCAGCUGGUACCAGCGAUUCUCAGUCUACCCCAGCUGACCGCCAUCUUCUCAAGCGGAGGAGGCAUCACGCUCAUCUCCUUGGAGUUAGCUUGCUAAAUAAUUAUUCAUGACUUUAUCAGGAUGGAAAAAGAGCCAAAAGCUGAGAAAAAGGGACAUUCUUCAUUCGGGCACUGAGGGGCUACUAGUGUCCAAUUCCUCCGCUGGCUGCAGCAAAGGCUCCCCUUUCUUGUUCUUUCCUCUUGCUUUCACUUUGUGACUCAGCACUGGGAGUGCAAGUGUGGUGAGACUGCUUCUUUCACCUACCCAAAGCCAGAGAACUUCGACAAAUCACCUUGCAGAUGAUGCAAGAAAACCAGCAGCACAGGUGGAGGAGGUCUGUAAGUUCCUGGGCCACACCCCUGCCUUCCUCUCCCUGACAAAGUAUUUACAAGGAAGAACGACCAGCAGCUCUGACCUGGGCAGACUUUCAAGGAAGAUGCUCUUGUUGGCUUUUCUUCUGCCCUCUGCACCUGCAACAGCUCAGUCAGGGUGAUUCUGGGGGCCCACGACAUCCUGAUUCAAGAGUGGACCCCGUAGGUCAUCCCUGUGAAAGAAGCCAUCCGCCACUCAGACUAUAUUCCUGGAGACUUCUUCAACGACAUCAUGUUACUAAAGGUGGCCAGGUCCAGGGGGAGCACGGACUCAGUCUUCUGCACUCUUUGUCCAUGUGGCGACUCUGGAAGCCCACUCAUCUGUAAGAACAUGCUCCAGGGUCUUGCCCUCCAUGGACAAGAUGACAGGACAGCUCCACGGCUCUUCAUCCAACUCUCAAGCUUCCUGCCCUGGAUAAAGGAAACCAUGAAAUCCUAUGAAAUGCCUCUAACUGUAGGAACCAGCCCACCUUCUCUGGAGCUGAUCCAGAAUGUCACCAGCAACUAAAUAAAUGUCUCUUAGCUGAGCAGGAA